GCCUGGGUGGCUCAGUUGGUUGAGCAUCUGACUUCCACUCAGGUCAUGAUCUCGUGGUCUGUGAGUUAGAGCCCUGCAUCGGGCU
rnacentral:tRNA from 1 species